rnacentral:rRNA from 1 species
CGCUCCUUGAUUUUAAUUAAUAAGGAGUCGGACCUGCCCAGUGAUAAGUAUUUAACGGCCGCGGUACUCUGACCGUGCAAAGGUAGCAUAAUCAUUUGCCCUAUAAUUGAGGGCUAGUAUGAAUGGUUUGACAAGAACAAUACUGUCUCUUUUAAAAUUUCUAGAAUUUAUUCUUUAGGUGAAGAAACCUAAAUAAAAUUAAAAGACAAGAAGACCCUAUCGAGCUUAAACUCUUUUUAUAAAAUAAAAAAAAUUAAUAAUAUUUUUUGUUAUAAAAAAUUUUGGUUGGGGCGACUAAGGAACAAAAAAAGCUUCUUUAUUUAAUAAAGACAAAUGUGUAUUGAUCCAUAAAAUCUUGAUUAAAAGAAUUAGUUACCGUAGGGAUAACAGCAUAAUCUUUUUUAAGAGUUCUUAUCGAAAAAAAGGUUUGUGACCUCGAUGUUGGACUAAAAUUUCCUAAUAGAUGCAGACGUCUUUAAGGG